UACAGAGGGUGCGAGCGUUAAUCGGAAUUACUGGGCGUAAAGCGUGCGCAGGCGGUUAUGUAAGACAGGUGUGAAAUCCCCGGGCUUAACCUGGGAACUGCAUUUGUGACUGCAUAGCUAGAGUACGGUAGAGGGGGAUGGAAUUCCGCGUGUAGCAGUGAAAUGCGUAGAUAUGCGGAGGAACACCGAUGGCGAAGGCAAUCCCCUGGACCUGUACUGACGCUCAUGACA
rnacentral:rRNA from 1 species